UGGGGAAUAUUGCACAAUGGGCGCAAGCCUGAUGCAGCGACGCCGCGUGAGGGAUGACGGCCUUCGGGUUGUAAACCUCUUUCAGCAGGGGCGAAGCGCAAGUGACGGUACCUGCAGAAGAAGCACCGGCCAACUACGUGCCAGCAGCCGCGGUAAUACGUAGGGUGCGAGCGUUGUCCGGAAUUACUGGGCGUAAAGAGCUCGUAGGCGGUUUGUCGCGUCGUCUGUGAAAUUCUGCAGCUUAACUGCAGGCGUGCAGGCGAUACGGGCAGACUUGAGUACUACAGGGGAGACUGGAAUUCCUGGUGUAGCGGUGAAAUGCGCAGAUAUCAGGAGGAACACCGGUGGCGAAGGCGGGUCUCUGGGUAGUAACUGACGCUGAGGAGCGAAAGCGUGGGUAGCGAACAGGAUUAGAUACCCUGGUAGUCCACGCCGUAAACGGUGGGUACUAGGUGUGGGUUCCAUUUCACGGGAUCCGUGCCGUAGCUAACGCAUUAAGUACCCCGCCUGGGGAGUACGGCCGCAAGGCUAAAACUCAAAGGAAUUGACGGGGUCAUAGC
rnacentral:rRNA from 1 species